GGGCCCGCACAAGCGGAGGAACAUGUGGUUUAAUUCGAUGAUACGCGAGGAACCUUACCCGGGCUUGAAAUGCAGAAGACCGACGAAGAAAUUCGUUUUCCAGCAAUGGCUUCUGUGUAGGUGCUGCAUGGUUGUCGUCAGCUCGUGCCGUGAGGUGUCGGCUUAAGUGCCAUAACGAGCGCAACCCUUAUCAUUAGUUACUAACAGGUCAUGCUGAGGACUCUAAUGAGACUGCCACCGUAAGGUGUGAGGAAGGUGGGGAUGACGUCAAAUCAGCACGGCCCUUACGUCCGGGGCGACACACGUGUUACAAUGGGGGGUACAGAGGGUCGCUACCUGGUGACAGGAUGCUAAUCUCAUAAAGCCUCUCUCAGUUCGGAUCGGAGUCUGCAACUCGACUCCGUGAAGCUGGAUUCGCUAGUAAUCGCGCAUCAGCCAUGGCGCGGUGAAUACGUUCCCGGGCCUU
rnacentral:rRNA from 1 species